GACGAACGCUGGCGGCGUGCUUAACACAUGCAAGUCGAACGGAAAGGCCCUGCUUGCAGGGUACUCGAGUGGCGAACGGGUGAGUAACACGUGGGUGAUCUGCCCUGCACUUCGGGAUAAGCCUUGGAAACUGGGUCUAAUACCGGAUAGGAGCCAUUUUUAGUGUGAUGGUUGGAAAGUUUUUUCGGUGUAGGAUGAGCUCGCGGCCUAUCAGCUUGUUGGUGGGGUAAUGGCCUACCAAGGCGGCGUCGGGUAGCCGGCCUGAGAGGGUGGACGGCCACAUUGGGACUGAGAUACGGCCCAGACUCCUACGGGAGGCAGCAGUGGGGAAUAUUGCACAAUGGGCGCAAGCCUGAUGCAGCGACGCCGCGUGGGGGAUGACGGCCUUCGGGUUGUAAACUCCUUUCGCUAGGGACGAAGCUUUUUGUGACGGUACCUAGAUAAGAAGCACCGGCUAACUACGUG
rnacentral:rRNA from 1 species